ACAGGUGUGAGGAUGGUGGAUCAUGGUAGACAGGCAAAGGCAACAGUGGAGAAGAACACAGGCAAGGAGUGAAUGAGACAGACAUGAGGUCAGUGAUAGCAUCAAGUAGAGAUGAGACCAGUGAUGACAUCAG